GUAGGGUGCAAGCGUUAAUCGGAAUUACUGGGCGUAAAGCGUGCGCAGGCGGCUAUGUAAGUCARGGUGUGAAAUCCCCGAGCUUAACUUGGGAAUUGCAUUUGUGACUGCMUGGCUAGAGUGUGUCAGAGGGAGGUGGAAUUCCACGUGUAGCAGUGAAAUGCGUAGAUAUGUGGAGGAACACCAAUGGCGAAGGCAGCUCCUGGGAUAACACUGACGCUCAUGCACGAAAGCGUGGGGAGCAAACAGGAUUAGAUACCCUGGUAGUCCACGCCCUAAACGAUGUCAACUAGUUGUUGGGUCAAUACKGACUUGGUAACGUAGCUAACGCGUGAAGUUGACCGCCUGGGGAGUACGGCCGCAAGGUUAA
rnacentral:rRNA from 1 species